AUUGUUUUACUAGCUAACCUUAAAUAGUUAAUGAUGAACCCUUUUUCACCAUCUUUCGACUGAAAAUUACUGAUGGCAAUCUAUUGUUACCUGAUUAACCUUUUCAAGUGCAAUAGGCCAUCUUGUUGAUAAUUGUUCUAAUCAAAUCUGCUUCUUCAGGUCUCGUGGUUCCAAGCGUCGUUAACAAGCAUCUACAGGUUACCUUGGUUAUACAAUUGAACAAGACUUCCCGUACGCUGCAAGACCAUGUUUAAAUUUGCAUCAACCUGUAAUAUGUAAUAAAUAAAAAAAAUAAUAAUAAAAUAUUUAAAAUGAAA